GAAGGUAUUGCUCAGUGGUAGAGCGCAUGCUUAGCAUGCAUGAGGUCCUGGGUUCAAUCCCCAGUACUUCCA
rnacentral:tRNA from 1 species